CAAAAAGUUCACUUAAGUAUUCGCUAAAAAACAACUCUCACCACACUCUCUCGCGACCUUUAGAAACCCUCUCUCUCUCUCUCUACUCCCUUUCUCAACCCUGAAACAUCAUCUCCAUUGCGCCAUCCAAUUCACUGCGGUCGCCAUAUCCCUUGAGUCCAGGUUACUGAGGUCGCCAAAAGUAUCACCUCCACAAUCUUCGCGAUCUCCUUCAUGAGGCCUCCCUCGAGCCCACUGGUCUCUUCUCUUCCAGGCUUCGCCUUCUCUUCGUCGACCCGUUCUUCGGUAAAUUUGAGAUGAUGAAAAUCGCUUGAUUCGUUUUUGAUUUGGUUUGAGAAUCGGAGAUGGAAGAUUAGAGGUUGUAGGAGGAGGAGGAUAUUGAGACUGUGUUGAGGUGUUUGGGUGUGUUGGAACAAUGUCCGACAAGAAUGAGAAUCAUCAUACGGUUCCGCUCUCAAUGAUGCUGAAGCAUGAAUUGGCCUAAGGAGAAGGUUGAGAGACCUGAGAUUGUGUGCAGUCAGGCGAGUCAGAGCAAGAAGGGGGAGGAUUUUACGCUGGUAAAGACGGAAUGUCAAAGAGUUGUGGGAGAUGGAGUUUCUACGUAUUCAGUUUUUGGUAGGACAAGCUUUCUAGAAGAAGUGUGAAGGUUUUCCGCUGCCAAUUACCCCGUGAUAAUCCUUUCUACUCAAGUGAGCCACCACAGAAGGAUAGUACAGACACGCCUCUUAAGGCUGGAGAGGAGAAGACAUUCUCUUUCCCUUCUUCAUCAAUGGUGUGUGAAGAUUAUGUACACCGGAUUGGAAGGAUGGGAAGAGCAGGAUCAAUGGGACAAGCUACUUCAUUUUACACUGAUCGUGAUAUGAUACUUUAUUUUCCACCUUCUCUUACUGCUUCUUUUACUUAUGAUCUCUUCCAUUGACAGAAUAUAACUCUUCAUUAUUCUUGAUUAUUGAUGGCACACUGUAGUUCCUUCUAGCAAGUAUAAAGAAAGCAAUUGCAAAUGUUGGAUCUGGAAAUGUUGUGGCUUUUGCAACUGGGAAGGGAUGAUGGAGUAGACUUCAAUUGUGCUUCAUUUGUAUGUUUGGAUGAGAGGAAGGCUUGGAUUAAGAGUACUAGAUAUAGGUCUUGUUAGGAGAAGAUUGUACUACUUAAUUACCAUGUAUCAAUUGAAAUAUUUAUAUUUAAUUGGUAGCAAGUAUGUAUGUCGUAGGAAUAAAGAUUGGUUAAUUUUGUAAUAACUAUUGAAGCUUCAAGUUUUAUGAA